rnacentral:rRNA from 1 species
CCUACGUGAGGCAGCAGUGGGGAAUAUUGCACAAUGGGGGAAACCCUGAUGCAGCGACGCCGCGUGAGUGAAGAAGUAAUUCGUUAUGUAAAGCUCUAUCAGCAGGGAAGAAAAUGACGGUACCUGAGUAAGAAGCCCCGGCUAACUACGUGCCAGCAGCCGCGGUAAUACGUAGGGGGCAAGCGUUAUCCGGAUUUACUGGGUGUAAAGGGAGCGUAGACGGCAGUGCAAGUCUGGAGUGAAAGGCGGGGGCUCAACCCCCGGACUGCUCUGGAAACUGUACGGCUGGAGUGCAGGAGAGGUAAGUGGAAUUCCUAGUGUAGCGGUGAAAUGCGUAGAUAUUAGGAGGAACACCAGUGGCGAAGGCAGCUUACUAACCUGUGACUGACAUUGAUGCUCGAAAGUGUGGGUAUCAAACAGGAUUAGAUACCCCGGUAGUC